rnacentral:rRNA from 1 species
UACGUAGGCAGCAAGCGUUGUUCGGAAUUACUGGGCGUAAAGAGUACGUAGGUGGUUUGCCAAGUCCGAUGUGAAAUCUCCUGGCUUAACUGGGAGGGUGCGUUAGAUACUGGCAGGCUUGAGUGUGGGAGAGGAGAGCGGAAUUCCUGGUGUAGCGGUGAAAUGCGUAGAUAUCAGGAGGAACACCAAUGGCGAAGGCAGCACUCUGGGACGUGACUGACGCUGAGACGCGAAAGCGUGGGGAGCAAACAGG